AGAUCAGAAACGCCUCCAACCAUCUCUUCAAGUAGCCUUUAGUGCUGUUUUGGACGCCCAUGGACAGAAUACAGCGAGCCAUAAUCAGCCUAUUAAGUAUGAUAAGGUAUAUACUAACCUCGGGAACGGGUAUGACAACAGUUCAGGCGUCUUUCAUCCACCAGUGAGGACUUUAUCAACUUUAUUCAUCAAUUGCAGUCGAUGGAGAUGAUGCAGUUCAUGCCUAUUUGGAAAAAAAUGGUCAACCAUUAUGCGCUUGUACCGCAGUUCACUAUAGUACCGGAUCAUGCAUGGUUAUAGUUCCACUCGUAGAGGGAGACACAGUUUGGAUGAGGGAAGCAUUCGGAAUACAUGUAAGAGCAGGAAAAUUGUCGACAUUUACGGGGCUUCUGUUAGAAAGUUCAAACUAGACUACUAAAUAAAGAGUACGAUAAAGUAUUUUAUUCUGUUAGGUUUUGUUUUUAAAAUAGAACAUGUUGUAACCGCUUUAGCUCUCAAUUGUAACAGGUCGUUAAUUCUCAAUAUAAUGUCAUUUUCUAUCACUCUCGUC
rnacentral:lncRNA from 1 species